rnacentral:rRNA from 1 species
GGUUCGAUUCUGGCUCAGAUUGAACGCUGGCGGGAUCACUUUACACAGCAUACCAAGUCGAACGGCAGCACGGACUUCGGUCUGGUGGCGAGUGGCGAACGGGUGAGUAAUGUAUCGGAACGUGCACAAUGUGGGGGAUAACUACGCGAAAGCGUAGCUAAUACCGCAUACGCCCUUCGAAGGGGAAAGCGGGGACCUUCGGGCCUCGCUAAUAGGAAGCAGCCGAUAUAUCGGAUUAGCUAGUUGGUGGGGUAACGGCUCACCAAGGCGACGAUCCGUAGCUGGUUUUGAGAGGACGACCAGCCGCUUUUUCAGGAUGAGACACGGCCGAACUCUACGGAGGCAGCAGUGGGGAAUUUUGGACAAUGGGGAAACCUGAUCCAGCCAUCCCGUGUGCGAUGAAGGCCUUCGGGUUGUAAAGCACUUUUGGCAGGAAAGAAACGGCGCGGAUAAUACCGUCGCAACUGACAGUACCUGCAGAAUAAGCACCGGCUAACUACGUGCCAGCAGCCGCAGUAAUACGUAGGGUGCAAGCGUUAAUCGGAAUUACUGGCGUAAAGCGUGCGCAGGCGGUUCGGAAGAAGAUGUGAAAUCCUGAGCUUAACUUUGGAACUGCAUUUUUGCCCAACUUCACCGAACUAGGUGUGUCAGAGAGGUGGGAUUUCCGCGAUGUAGCAGUGAAGUAAGAAUAUGCGGAGGAACACCGAUGGCGAAGGCAGCCUCCUGGGAUAACACUGACGCUCAUGCACGAAAAGCGUGGGAGCAAACAGGAUUAGAUACCCUGAAAUGAUCCACGCCCUAAGCGAUCAUCAACUAGCUGUUUGGGGCCUUCAGGCCUUGGUAGCGCAACUAACGCGUGAGAUUGACCGCCUGAAGGUACGGUCGCAAGAUUAAAGCUCAAAGGAAUUGACGGGGACCCGCACAAGCGGUGGAUGAUGCUGGUUAAUUCGAUGCAACGCGAAAAAGGCAGCACCUACUAUGACAUGUCACUGGAAUCGAAGAGAUUUGAGUGCUCGCAAGAGAACCGGAACACAGGUGCUGCAUGGCUGUCGUCAGCUCGUGUCGUGAGAUGUUGGGUUAAGUCCGCAACGAGCGCAACCCUUGUCAUUGGAGUUGCACGAAAGGGCACUCUAAUGAGACUGCCGGUGACAAACCGGAGGAAGGUGGGGAUGACGUCGCGAUCCUCAUGGCCCUUAUGGGUAGGGCUUCACCCGCAUCUGCAAUGGUCGGGACAGAGGGAACCAGCCGCGAAAGGAGCCAAUCCCAGAAACCCGAUCGUAGUCCGGAUCGCAGUCUGCAACUCGACUGCGUGAAGUCGAGAAUCGCUAGUAAUCGCGGAUCAGCAUGUCGCGGUAGACCGUUCCCGGGUCUUGUACACCGCCCGUCACCAUGGGAGUGGGUUUUACAGAAGUAGUUAGCCUAACCGUAAGGAGGGCGAUUACCACGGUAAGUUCAUGACUGGGGGUGAAGUGGUAACUAUCAGAUAA